GAUUUGGAAAGACAGAGAGCUCUCUGGACACGGGUUCGAUGGAGCUUGCACCUCUCUGAGAGCUGAAGUCAAGUCUCACCCUCUCUCCAUACUCCCUGGCCUAGUGUGCUCUGGGCAGCAGGUAGGAAGGGACAGGGACCUCUCAUCUCAAGGGCUGCCCCAAAGGGCCCUCAGGGACCAUGGGCCUGUUAGGACCCCAGCACCCCAGUGUCGAUCCUGGAAGUCAAAGGUCACGACUGUGGGGGGCCAGCUCAUGUCACUGAUGGCAGCAGGCAGGGUUUCCAGCAUGGGCGGUGCGCUGCUGUCUGAUACUUCAUUAUUGUGUUGUCAUCCUAGCUGUAUAAUUAACUAUAUCCAAAAGCCGGAAGGGAAACCUGUAGCUCUGCAUAUGGAGAAAUAAAACAGAGCAUAUGAUGUAUAGAGAAAAUGAACUGCACCCAGCUGUGCACUAGAGCGCCAUGUUCUUACCCAGCAUUCCUUGCCACGGUGUGAACCACAGCAGGGAAGCUCGCAUGGUUCUACACGUCACCGAGGCCUGGAUGAAAAUGUGGCCUCACGAUGUGUAUGGUUGGGACCCGCCUUCUAUUUCAUUUUAUCUUAACACCAACGAAAGAAAACCGAUUUCAGACGUUUUUCGCUGAUUUAUGAUUUAUUAUAUCCCUUUCUGGCAUCAGCCAAAAUCUCGGUUUUUCCUAUGACAUGAAGUGAUGUGACUCUUACCCCGUUGUCUUAACUCUUGGUAUUUUUGAAGCAGGAUAAGUCACACAGCGGGUCACGUAGACACGUGCUGUUUUGUGGGACAGGCCCUGGGCCUCCUUGCUCCUGGCAGGCCUCAGGUGCCGCACGCCGCGUCACCGUCAGGACUCGCAGGCUGUCUGGUCAUUUUUGACGUUGCUGAAGGUGAGUGGGAAAAGCUGGGUGCACUCUGCCCCAAAGGUGGUGCCCUGUGUCCCCCACAGAUGAUGGCCCUCCCCAGUGAUGGCCGGUCACCAGGCACGGCUUUCCCCUCUGCAUGAACAGAACAGAAGCUUCUGGCUCUCCAAGGCAGCAGCUUGGGGCCUGGUGGCCCGGGUGUGCGAGCCGCGAGUGCUUUCCAACAGAGGGCACCAGAGCCGUGCGGUGUGCUGUGGAGACCCCAGCACCACUUCCCCUGCUGGAGGAUGGAUUUGAAGGAGGGUGGCUGGGCGGCACCCCGAUGGCUCCCUGUGCUCCCUGAGACCCUACAGGCCGCCCUCUGCAGCCACACCUGGACCGGCAGGCAUGCACGCUGCAGGCAGGCUGCCUCCGCUGUUUGGGUCCCAUGAACGAUGGAAGCCUCCCAGUGAGAUCUUCAGGUCUCUCAUCAGGCACAGGCUCUGAGGGAGGGUCCUGGGGCCACAUGACUGCAGCCAGCGAGGGCCGAGCCCCCAGAAUCCAGGUCAGCUCCUGGUGGCAGGGGACCUGCCCGUCAAAGCCGUCCAAGGUGAGCCAGCAAAUCCGUGUGGCCUGGGAGCACAGGUGGGCCUGCUCGGACCAUGCCCUUGGUGCAGUACAAAACCAUGUUCUGCUUCCUCUCCGAGGGUUUCCGCGGCCCUGUCAGAACAGGCUUGAUAGAUGCCCGGAGGUUCCCUCUGACAGCCGCAGCAGCAGGGCUCAAACCGGCGGGGCCGUGUACCGCUCCAAGGACAAGCUCUGCCGAGGCCGACAUGAAAAGCCAGCACGCGGGUCGCCUAGAGCCGCUCUGCCUCCAAGCUGCAGCGCCGUUCGUGAAAAUACAGAGGGAGAGGGAAGGCACAAAGAAAUACAAAACUAUUUUCCAAAUAAAAAGAAAUGUCGAAACAAGAAAGCUGUGUUCUUCAGCCUUGGCCCUGGGUCCCCCUCACCCUGUCGCAUUUCCCAGCACUGUGAUGCUUUGAAGGCCGACACCGAGACCCGCCGUGCACGACAGCCACCUCGCAGCCACUCAGACCGGCGGACCACGCUCCCCUGUUUCCAGAGAGAUGAGAGAGUCAGAAGUAAUACUUGUUUUUGCAGAACCACACUUGUGGCAAAAUAAGUUGCCUUUGGCCACGCAGGAGACUGAGUUUUGUGAGGGGUUGUCCUUCUCCCAGUCUCUCUUCCCGCUGGGAACAGAAGUGUCCAGUAAACCCACCUGCAUUCCACGUGUCCUGUGGCCGCCUCCAGUGGUGAGUCUGUGAGGCCAGAGAAGAGAAGCUAUGACCGUGCAAACAUGCAUGUUAUGGUGUUGGCUGAUGCGGAAUCAGGAAGCUUGGAGGAGCUCUUGCAUGAGGAAUUGCAGAACUUAGGGGCAUGAAUUUGCACUUCCAGAUGUGAAGGUUGCAGGCACCGGGCGUUGCAGAGGAAGUGGGCAAGCUCACCUUGUAGAGAACUUACUUGGGGUUUGUAAUUUGUAUACACUUCUUACCCAGCAGAAACAGCUUACUGAACACCCCUCGGGUGGCUGGAUGAUGUGCUAGCAACUGAAACCAUCUCUGCGACUUAAGCUUCUCUGGUGCGUCGCGCCCCACGUGCUUCUCCAGAAUCCCGUUUGGAGGGGCCAAGCAAGUCCAAUAUAGAUAGGUUUAUACUGAAGCCAUCAGUUUUGUUUCUUACAUCGUUUGUAAACAGCAGUAUUAUCCUGGAACUUGUUUCCUACAGAACUGUAAGAUAAGGAUAAAAUCCCAUCCACCUGAAUUGCUGAGAAACGUAAGAGGUGGUGUGACCCGCUGGAGCCCUGUGGAGUGGCGGACUCUGGGGAGUAGCUGGUCAGUGAGAUUCUCGCAGCAAUGUGAGGCAUCCUCCUCACAGAAAUGCAUUUACGGAUGUUGCUGUAUCCCCUGACCUGGCCUACAAGGACAGAACAGCCCUGGGGGCCACGUCCCCUCCCGGUCUCAUCUGCCGCUUGCUCACCUUGGCUGUCCAUGCACCCGUAGCUGUGACCAUGGGCGGUGGCGCCAGCUCGGACUUCACCCCGUUGGAGCGGGCAGGAUGUCACACUGAGCUAAUGUGAGAUUGUUCAUGAAGCUACAGAUCUUAGUGCUACUUGGGCUUCUCACAGCACAGAGGAGGAUUCUGAAGUGAGAGAUAAAUUGGCUUCAUGUAUGAGCAAGGGGGAAAGUGUUUUAUUUUACUAGGAAGAUUUUACUGAAAGACCAAUCCCGAAACGGCCCUUGCUUCGGCCACAGCUGCUGGGAUGUCCUCGGGCCUCCCCUGUUUGUCUGCAUGUCUUCUUGUUGCCAUCGGGGCAGUGGAGUCCCCGGAAACAGUCCAAGGCCCUGGGGUGGGGGAUUUAAAUUUUUGGCUUCCCUCAGACCUCAGACCGUGUGGGUUUUUUUUUCUUUCUUUCUUUCCUGUUCAUGGGCAUUUGAUUAAAAGUUUGUGUUUAAAGAGCUGAACUUCACAUCAGUUUUACUUAUCAGUUUGAAAGACAUUGAGAUCUAAACACGGCUCUGCCCAAGACCUCUGCCAAGCAGCGCCGUCUGUCUGUCUGUCUGUCUGAAGGGACGGGAAGGUGGAGAAACUGCAGGUACUGACCUGUCUCUAAGCCACUGAGGGCAGCCAUCCAGUGUCCUCGGGACCCCAUGGCUCCAGCUGCUGACAGAUGUGAAACGUCUGGCCUCCAUCACCCGGGUCGCCCCGACAAGGAUCUGUAAUGGGGGCAGGGGUGGGGGUGGAUGAGAAAGUAGGAAGUGGAUGCUGGGCAGCGAGGUGUGAACUGACGGCAGAGCCCAGCCCGACAGCACCUUUGAUUGAUGAAAGGACAUUGUUAACAAGCCUUUAAAGUUUCUCAUUAAUGUUUUUUUCGUUGGAAAAAAAAGCCACCAGAAAAAAAUUCCACAUGGACAGUAAUUAAGAUCGAUCCCGUACAGUAUGGUAUCAAUGUUUGGGAGCCUUUAGGAAAAAAUUAUCCACCCUCCUAUUAAAGACUUAUUUUCAAGCUGCCAUUUUCCAGGCUGUUGAAAGUCCCUGGCAGUGUGGGUACCUGGGCAGUCAGGCACGUUCCGCAGAUGUGAUGUGGUCGGCCUCACAGGUAAUGUUUCUACUGUGGCCUGAGGAUGGAGAGUGGAGCCCCUGAGCUUUAGUUGUCACGGACUCUGAUGCAGUCAGGCAAGGAAGGGUGGGGAAGGAUCUGAUGGAUCUGCUGCCAUGGAGAAGCUGGAGUUCUUCUCAGCUCCGAGUGAGCCCCAAGGAGUGCGUCUGAGCAGAGUGCACGUGGUGCCCAUGGUUCUCACCAGAGAUGCUCAAGCCCUUGGGCGAGGGGGCUGAGCCAGCCCCGACAUUGUACACACAGCACCACACACGGGCAUACCCAACGGUUCUUUACAGGUCUUCGAGUUACACGUCACUGCUGUUUGGAUCCCAAACACCAGCGGAACGCAUGAUUCCAGGUUGAUUUGUUGACUCACAUUAAGGAAACCCAGCUGGAGAAAGUAUCAGGGUCCUAACGUUAAGCAACCUGCGAUAUUAUGCAAAAAGGAUUGCUUUUGUGUGUUGUGAUUGCCAUGGCUACGAGAAGAAAUGGAUGCACGUGUGAGACUUGGCUGGUGACAAGGAAGCAUGUAUGGACAUGGAAUCAGGUCCUGAGCAAGCAGGCGGUCCUCCAAGGCGGUGGAAUUGGCCCUGGAUCCCUGCCCAAAGGCCGCUCCGCUCUGGGCCUUGGUGGGAAAGCUCUGCCCUCUAGGCUGGCCUCUGAGAGGGCUUUGGUGUGACCUUCCUGUCACUGCCCACUUUCUAACCAGACAAGGAGGGUGUCUGUACCUGGCGCUAACCCAGGGUUUGGGGGACCGUCCUGCAGUCCCCGUCGGACAGAGAAGGCUUCGUUUCUCAGGAGCUCCAGGCUUUGAUUCACUCCCACGAUGUGUUUCUUUUUGGGGUAAAACAGUCCCCACGGGGAGUUAAAUUUUAGGAAGCCAUGAGAUCCUUCCAGAUGAAAGGCAUCAUGUAAGUGUAUGAUACUGUUACUGAGCAAAAGCCCCAGUGCUCCCAGGUGUGGCAACGAGACACCUGCACUCACCGGGCACCACCCAGCCGGGGCGGGCGCUCCCCGGGACUGGCAGGUUCUCUAGGUGUGGCAGUGAGACAUCACUCACCGGGCACCACCCAGCCGGAGUGGGUGCUCUCCGGGACUGGCAGGUUCUCCAGGUGCCUCCUUCCUCUUGCAGCUUUGCUCACUUUGUCAAUUUUCAGGAAGGGGAAUUUUAAAUGUCCCCCCAGUCCUGAAGAGAUUGAGCAGCAUUUUCAGGAGGAGGCCUCACCAUCAUCAUUGCCACACUGGCCAUAAACCAGAGACUCUGCUGGAGAAACCCUCUGCAGACCUUGGAGGCCUCACACAUCCCAGUUACGGGCAGCGCAGCUGUCCCCUCCGGAGAAGAUUCCUCUGCAAUGGGAAAGCAUUUGUGAAAUGAGGCAGGGUUUACAUAAUUGGUGUGAGCCUGAGCACACCCGGCACACCUGUGUCCUCUGCGUACACCUGCCUGGGUGCCGACACUGCUUGCAGGUGGUUUUGGGGAAAGUGCAGGCCUGGCUUCCAUAUGGCACAUAGUGGCUUUUCUAAGACUGUUCACAUGUCUGCCAAUGAGGAAUGGCCCUGGCCCCUAUUUCCUGUAGAUUCCCAACACCACUGGAGGGCCCGUGAGGAUCCUUCUGUCCCUGCAAGGUGUGGCCUACUGGGGUGUCCCUCCAAGGUGUGGCCUGCUGGGGUGUCCCUCCAAGGUGUGGCCUGCUGGGGUGUCCCUCCAAGGUGUGGCCUGCUGGGGUGUCCCUCCAAGGCGUGGCCUGCUGGGGUGUCCCUGCAAGGCGUGGCCUGCUGGGGUGUCCCUCCAAGGCGUGGCCUGCUGGGGUGUCCCUCCAAGGCGUGGCCUGCUGGGGUGUCCCUCCAAGGUGUGGCCUGCUGGGGUGUCCCUCCAAGGUGUGGCCUGCUGGGGUGUCCCUCCAAGGUGUGGCCUGCUGGGGCGGGUCCUGCCAAGUCUUCAUCUCCAUCACCACUCAGCAGGGUGUAGCCUGAUGUGGGAGGCGCCCAGGAGGCGAAGCAGAGACAUCCUGCCUUUCUUUGAAAGCCACCCCAGUGACCAAGAGGUAACUUGAAAUCAUGGGCACAAACACCCAUAAAUCAUCAUCACAGCUAAGCCGGCCCCCAGCCCCCUCCCAAGGGGUCUUCUGCUGGCACCACCACCACCACCACCCAGAAGGAGAGGUGGGUUGCCGAGUGGUCUGCUUUGGCCUGGCUUCACCAGGGAUGGAAGAUACUUGCAAGGUCCAGAGCCGUGGCUGACCCUGGAACUGGCAGGGAGGGGAGCUGUUUUGCAGUUGUCAAACCCAGUAUCUGCCAUGUGACGCUCCCUGCCCCACACUUUGCAAUUCAAACCUCAUCUGGGCAGGCAUCCCUGAAAUGCACCUUUCCCAGAGUCUUGCUGUUUCCAGAACUUAGGUAUUCUCACUCAGGGAGCCGUCUUCUAAGCCACCAUUCUGGAGGGCUUUCUUGGGAAAAAGCCUUUCGUGGACUCUGCAUGGUGGCCCUGGGGACUGGCACUCACCUCCCCUGAGCCCCUCGCUGGAGACGGCGGAGUAUCCCGACCAAGGGCUCCUCCCACCUGACCAGACGGGCCAUCCACCAGCGCACCCAAGGCUGGACUCCAGCCUUCAGGGAGCCUCAGGUCCAGGGGACACAGUGGGCCCAGCACCCCGGCCACAUGUGAUGGAGCCUCCAGGCCUGCCCAGCACCUACUGCCCUGGGACAGGCUCUCUUUCAAGUCAGCUCCUCUGUCCAGGAAGCAUCUGAGAGGCCCUGUGGUCCUGGCCAAGGAGGCAGGCCGUAAGGAGGGCAGGCCCGAGGACGUAGGUGUGGCAACACUCCGUGUGGAGUAGUCUCUGAGGCCAGACCUGCGGUUCCUGUUUCCUGUGCCCUGGGGACCCAGAGAAAGAAGACGGAUGGGCGCUGCAGUGGGGCGGAGCAGGCCUGAGCCCAGCUCGAGGAAAGCUUGCCUUCUCGUCUAGUGUCCCCGUGUUUUACAUAAUUAGAAAUGUGUGUGUGAAAAAAUUUUAAGCAAUUGAAAGGAGCCGGGGUGUGGUGGGAAGAAUUAUUAAAUAAUAAAAAAAAAAUCAAUCCUCAGUUUGGCCUGGCCAGACGAGUGUUUCUCGGCUCAGUAUUUGUUAAAGGGCGUGGCAAACACUAGUGCCGCACGUGUCACCAAUGGUCACCAGCUCCAGAAGGCAAGUAAGAUGUGAGCAAAUUCCAUGAACACCAGAUGGCUUCAAGGGGCUUCCAGGUAAUUUGAAGGAAAAAAAGUUUAAGGACAGAAGAUGAUGCUGAAAAAAUAAAAUCAGCUCUAAACCACCCCAGCAUGCUGGGAGAGCCUGAUGUGCUCCACGAGGAGCCCCCAAAAGCCGAGGGGAACACAGGACACUUCCCCGAAGGCACAGGGGCCUGGUCCUGCCCCUGGGCCACUCCAGGUGCAUGCAUGGGAGGCGAUGGCUGGGCAGCUGUACAUCCACCUUUAGAGACACUAUCGGGUUUCCAAAGCGGCUGCACCAUUUUACACACCCACCAGCCAGGCUGCAGCUCCCACCUACCAGGUUCAAGUGAUUCUCCUGCCUCAGCCUUCCAAGUAGCUGGGAUUACAGGCACAUGCCACCACACCCAGCUAAUUCUUGUAUUUUUAGUAGAGACGGGGUUUCACCAUAUUGGCCAGGCUGGUCUUGAACUCCUGACCUCAGGUGAUCUGCCUGCCUCGGCCUCCCAAAGUGCCAGGUGAACUGGACAUCUCUUCUGCUGGUUCCAUCUGGGUUCACCCAUGGGUGGGCCCCACUCUGCAAGAGGGUCCAUAGGGCUGGACCGUCCAGGUUACUGCUGGCAAUGGUCCUGCUGGUGGCUCUGUCCCUGCUUCAUUCAGGUUGCUCUUCUCCAGCCUCCCAUGGUCCCCUCCUCACGGCUCUCCCAGUGCUUCCUCAGCACCUUUCCAGCUUCCACCUGAUGCCUGCUUUGAAAACCAGGUCAAAGUUUCAGGUCUUGGAAGAAACCAUCACACCGAGGUCAUUUCUGAGCACAGCGUGGAAGCUCCUAUGUUUGCAGAUUGAUUCCUUGGAGUGGAAUUAGUAAAAAGGAUAUGAAUAUUUUUAGUCUCUUGAUAUGUUAGACUGAUUUCCAGAAGGCUUGUACCAAUUUACUCUUCUACCGACAACUGUAAGAAUACCCUUCCUCCAUCAACAGCAUUGUGUAUUAGCUUUUAAGAAAAAUCUUUUCUAAUUUAAUAGGUUAAAAAAAUUCAUCUCAUUAUUUUAAUUUGAUAUGUAUUUUUAAAUGAGGUUGAAUAUAAUUUCCCAAGCUUAUUGAUCACUUUUAUUGUUCCCUUGUGAAUGGACUGUAAAUUUGCCUCUUUUUUCUUUAGGGUGUUCAUUGAGUGUUAUUGAUUUGCAAAAGCUCAUUGUAUAUUAAGAAUAUAAACCCUUUGUUGAGAUUGU